AACGAACGCUGGCGGCAGGCCUAACACAUGCAAGUCGAACGCCCGUAGCAAUACGGGAGUGGCAGACGGGUGAGUAACGCGUGGGAACGUGCCCUUCGGUUCGGAAUAACUCAGGGAAACUUGAGCUAAUACCGGAUACGUCCGUAAGGAGAAAGAUUUAUCGCCGAAGGAUCGGCCCGCGUCGGAUUAGCUAGUUGGUGAGGUAACGGCCCACAAGGCGACGAUCCGUAGCUGGUCUGAGAGGANGAUCAGCCACACUGGGACUGAGACACGGCCCAGACUCCUACGGGAGGCAGCAGUGGGGAAUAUUGGACAAUGGGCGAAAGCCUGAUCCAGCCAUGCCGCGUGAGUGAAGAGGCCUUAGGGUUGUAAAGCUCUUUCAGCGGGAAGA
rnacentral:rRNA from 1 species